rnacentral:rRNA from 1 species
GAUGAACGCUAGCGGGAGGCCUAACACAUGCAAGCCGAGCGGUAUUGUUUCUUCGGAAAUGGGAGAGCGGCGUACGGGUGCGUAACACGUGUGCAACCUGCCUUUAUCUGGGGGAUAGCCUUUCGAAAGGAAGAUUAAUACUCCAUAAUAUAUUGAACGGCAUCGUUUAAUAUUGAAAGCUCCGGCGGAUAGAGAUGGGCACGCGCAAGAUUAGCUAGUUGGUGAGGUAACGGCUCACCAAGGCGAUGAUCUUUAGGGGGCCUGAGAGGGUGAUCCCCCACACUGGUACUGAGGCCCGGACCAGACUCCUACGGGAGGCAGCAGUGAGGAAUAUUGGUCAAUGGGUGCAAGCCUGAACCAGCCAUCCCGCGUGAAGGACGACUGCCCUAUGGGUUGUAAACUUCUUUUGUAUAGGGAUAAACCUACCCUCGAGAGGGUAGCUGAAGGUACUAUACGAAUAAGCACCGGCUAACUCCGUG